UACGUAGGGUGCGAGCGUUGUCCGGAAUUAUUGGGCGUAAAGAGCUUGUAGGCGGUUUGUCGCGUCUGCUGUGAAAAUCCGAGGCUCAACCUCGGACUUGCAGUGGGUACGGGCAGACUAGAAUGUGGUAGGGGAGACUGGAAUUCCUGGUGUAGCGGUGAAAUGCGCAGAUAUCAGGAGGAACACCGAUGGCGAAGGCAGGUCUCUGGGCCACUACUGACGCUGAGAAGCGAAAGCAUGGGGAGCGAACAGGAUUA
rnacentral:rRNA from 1 species